GUGGGGAAUAUUGGACAAUGGGCGCAAGCCUGAUCCAGCCAUGCCGCGUGAGUGAUGAAGGCCUUAGGGUUGUAAAGCUCUUUCAGUGGGGACGAUAAUGACGGUACCCACAGAAGAAGCCCCGACUAACUUCGUGCCAGCAGCCGCGGUAAUACGAAGGGGGCUAGCGUUGUUCGGAUUUACUGGGCGUAAAGCGCACGUAGGCGGAUCGUUAAGUCGGGGGUGAAAUCCUGGAGCUCAACUCCAGAACUGCCUUCGAUACUGGCGAUCUUGAGUACGGAAGAGGUGAGUGGAACUCCUAGUGUAGAGGUGGAAUUCGUAGAUAUUAGGAAGAACACCAGUGGCGAAGGCGGCUCACUGGCUCGAUACUGACGCUGAGGUGCGAAAGCGUGGGGAGCAAACAGGAUUAGAAACCCUUGUAGUCC
rnacentral:rRNA from 1 species